ensembl:lncRNA AHSA2P activator of HSP90 ATPase homolog 2, pseudogene
UGGAUGUUUCGGGGAGUUAGAAGGGAGCUGGAUUGAGAGACUGUGUUAGGGGCGGGGGUAUGGAACGUAGUGGAAAGGGCAGAAAUUUGGAUCUCAGUUCGCGCCCACCCCGCAGGCGCCUCCCGCGAGCCGGGCCCUCUGUGAGUGAGACAAGCUCCCCUUCCUUUACGCGCCUCACCUGGCGCGUGGGGAGAGGUCGGCAGCCCUCCGCCGCAGAACCUCCGGAAGGGAUGUCCUCUGCCCUGCGCCUCUGGCCGGGGCUGUGGUCCCUCCAGGCCGUCGAGGGGAUGCUGAGGCCGGUCCCCAGAGGAGCAUGACUUGGCUGGUCCGGAGGAGCUCUGAGGGCAUGGGCAAUCUUGGCUCGCUGCAACCUCAGCUUCCAGAGUUCAAGCGAGUCUCCUGCUUCAGCCUCAUGAGUAGCUGGGACUACAGAUGCGUGCCACUACGUCCGUCUGAUGUUUGUAUUUUUAGUAGAGACAGGGUUUCACCAUGUUGGUCAGGCUGCUCUCGAACUCCAGAUCUCGUGAUCCGCCCGCCUGGGCCUACUAAAGUGCUGGGAUUACAGGCGUGAGCUAGAUCUGACUUUCUAGUGUCCUAGCCUUGGCCCGAUGGACAUGUCAUUUCUCUCAGCUCGUUUCUGUCCCCUAAAGUGAGAAUAUUGCCUGGGAAGAUUACAUUAGACGAUGUAUAUGCGAAGACACUUGAUAGCUGGUAUUGUCAUGAUUCUGAUUAGUUCACUACUGCUACUUUCCCUGUGGCCUAGGCUUUGCCUAUUUCCAGUGGGCGAGCUAGCUAGAUCCUCCUCCCUUAAAUAAGCCAGUGUUUUUAAGACAGAAUACUACUUGCAUAGUGGACAAUAAUAUCUUAAAGAACUGAGCAGGAUGAAAAGAAUUUGAUAGAAAGCAGGUUUGAGGAGCACAUUGGAGGUUGGCAGGUUUCGAGGCUGCUUGAGAGGACUUGGGCCGAUCUGGGCUGGGCUUGGACGUGACCCUGGCACCCAGGCAGGUGGAUCCCAGCUGGGGCUUCCAUUCACGACUUUCUGGUCCCUGGCAGGACAGAGCGGGAUGCCACCAGCUUGUCCAAAGGGAAGUUCCAGGAGCUCCUGGUGGGCAUCGUUGUGGAGAAUGACGCUGGCCGCGGCGAGAUCAACGAGUUGAAGCAGGUGGAAGGGGAGGCUUCGUGCAGCAGCCGCAAAGGAAAGCUGAUUUUCUUCUAUGAGUGGAACAUCAAACUGGGCUGGAAAGGCAUCGUUAAAGAAUCUGGAGUGAAGCACAAGGGAUUGAUUGAAAUACCCAAUCUUUCUGAGGAAAAUGAAGUAGAUGACACUGAGAAUUUACAACGGGAAUGAUUUUACCAACGAAAGCUAUGGCAACCCAGGAAUUGACUGUCAAAAGAAAACUGAGUGGGAAUACCCUGCAGGUAUGAGCUCUGUUGGCCAAAAUGUAGGGAAGGGGUAAAGGAAGUGUUUGAGUCAGGGCUCCGAAUGGCCGUGUUGAUGGAGAACUGAGGACAGCGAGGGCCUUCUUCCGCCUUUGAGUCUCCCGUUCAGGCCUCAUCUCCAGUGGCACUGGGUGUAAGGAUUCCCACUGUGGCUCUUCACAUGAUGGAACUGUUUGACACAACUGUAGAGCAGCUGUAUAGCAUCUUCACUGUAAAGGAGUUAACAAAUAAGAAGAUCAUCAUGAAAUGGAGAUGUGGGAACUGGCCAGAAGAACACUAUGCCAUGGUUGCACUGAAUUUUGUGCCUACUCUAGGGCAAACAGAAUUACAAUUGAAGGAGUUCCUAUCUAUCUGUAAAGAAGAGAACAUGAAAUUCUGUUGGCAGAAGCAGCAUUUUGAAGAAAUAAAAGGUUCACUGCAGCUGACCCCCCUAAAUGGUUGAAUUAAAAUUUAUUAUAAGGCAUUACUUUUUGUAAGCGGAAAAAGUGUCACAUUUACCUCUUCCCUAUCUUUUGUUUAAAAGGACUGUCUUUAUUUUAUAUUGGAUGAAAUCUAUGAACAUAUAUACAAUGUAAAGCAUUGUUUGACUCUUUAUUAUAACUAGACACUGCAUUGAUUUAAAAGUAGCAAACAACCUGAAAUUAAGUAUUAACCUGACCUUCCAUCGAUAUUCCUCUGGAAAUAGGUAAGUCCUGAGUGCAGAUAGUUGAUGUUUCCCAAGCUGAAGCUUGUCCUAUAGCAAGCUUGCUUGCAGCUGUACUUUUAGUUCAAGAUGACAAAAAAUAAAUGGCAUGUUGACACUAUUCCUUUAUUUUACUUUAGGGUUUUUAAGGUGUGUAGAUCUUAGGUCGUAAAACAGUGGUAUAUUGCAUUCAAAAGCAUGUUGAGGUGAGGGCAAAUUGGCUGUGUUUUGCUCCACAUCUCCCUGCACAUCUCCCUGCUGUGGUUUUGCACUUCGGUGUGGAGAGGAUUGAGAAGUCUGUGGGGACACAUUAGUUCUGUGGACUGCUGGUAACACUUCCAGUGAAACAGCAUAUAAUGGAUAAAUGUUUCCCCCCUCUUUCACGGUUUUCUCACUACUUUCACCUGAGAAGACUGAAGCAACGUAUGUAAACAAAUGAAAAGUCAUCACAAUCAGUUUAAUUAAGUGCACAG